UGGUGGAGUGAUUUGUCUGGUUAAUUCCGUUAACGAACGAGACCUCGACCUGCUAAAUAGUUUGGUGAACUCUUGUGGUUCAUUCACAGCUUCUUAGAGGGACUAUCGGUGUGUAGCCGAUGGAAGUUCGAGGCAAUAACA
rnacentral:rRNA from 1 species